GUUAUAAUAGUUUAAUUAAAACCUUGGUCUUGUAAACCAAAAUUAGAUUUUUUUCGUCUUUAUAAUU
rnacentral:tRNA from 1 species